UGAAUGUAAAAGACCCAAACAUAUCACAUCUAAAAUUUUUUUCUUUACAUAAAAUAACCAAAAUGGGUAAAAUAUUAGCAAUAUUCGCCAUUUUUUGACAGGCGGUCUUAUUCAAUGGGGCCAAAAAACAGCAUUUUGGAUUUGAAUUUUACUUUUUGUUAUUUUUAAGUUAAGGAAAGAUAAAACUUAGUAAAAAUAAAACUUAUAGGAUAAUGGCAAUUAGCCAACAGAAUUUUUGAGCCCUAUCAGCACACUCCAGGUCGUAUCAACAUGAAUAAACUCCGGUAAGCUUAUCGUUUUUAUGAUGGGAUAUGAAACAUUGAGACCGUUAUCUUGAUGGGGUACCAAAUAUUAACCGACAAUUUUGUGGGGGUAUGAAAAUUUUUCACAAAAUUAAAAAUAUCCUCCGCCCUGGGGUAGCACUUACUUUAUGACCGCUUCCUUCGUUCACGUUUUUCGCCAUACAUUUCUAUAUUAGUAAUUUAUAUCACUCCGUGG